rnacentral:rRNA from 1 species
ACGAACGCUGGCGGCGUGCUUAACACAUGCAAGUCGAACGGUGAAGCGCCUUCCUUUUUGGUGGGUGUGGAUGAGUGGCGAACGGGUGAGUAACACGUGAGUAACCUGCCCCCUUCUUCUGGAUAACCGCAUGAAAGUGUGGCUAAUACGGGAUAUUCUGGGUCUGCCGCAUGAUGGGUCUGGGAAAGAUAUUGUUUCGGUGGGGGAUGGGCUCGCGGCCUAUCAGCUUGUUGGUGGGGUGAUGGCCUACCAAGGCGGUGACGGGUAGCCGGCCUGAGAGGGUGGACGGUCACACUGGGACUGAGACACGGCCCAGACUCCUACGGGAGGCGGCAGUGGGGAAUAUUGCACAAUGGGCGCAAGCCUGAUGCAGCGACGCCGCGUGAGGGAUGGAGGCCUUCGGGUUGUGAACCUCUUUCGCCAGUGAAGCAGGCCUGCCUCGUUUGUGGGUGGGUUGACGGUAGCUGGAUAAGAAGCGCCGGCUAACUACGUG